UUGAACUGGGAUGACAGGGUAAUUGUAACCGUUGGUUCCAACUUUUAAGCUUGUUGGCUCCUCCACAAGUUCCAUACCUAAAAGUCACCCCUGCCAGUGAGAACCCAUAAUUCCUAGACCCACCCUAAUAAAUAUAACUGACAGCCUCACUGGUGGCUGAAUCCUUAGCUGUCAGGAAAAAUGCGCAGAGCCACCCGUUUAAGACAGUCGCACUCGUUAUAGCCACUCGCACUCACACUCAUUGACAGCGGUUCGGGUUAAGGUCGUAUGUAACCCCACAAAUCAAAAUUGGGUUACACUUGGAAGGGUAGCCAGAUUUUGAGCCGAAGGGAUACAUUUGUCAAACCUCGGGUUUGUAUGGAAUUUACUACCUACAGAUUAUAAAAAGGAAUGAAUCACCUCGUGAAGCUUCUUUUCUGUCCUAGACCAGUUAGAAAAAGUGCGCGUUGCUUUAAAACAAAAUUAUAAAAUAAAAAUUGGCUGUUAAAAUCAAGUGAUAAGACAAACGGAGAUAAAAUCAAUAAUUUACGUGCUAUUAGUACGCUAAUUCGUGAGCUUUGAUGAGAAGAAAAAAAAACAAGUGUAAAAUAGUACAGAGAAUCAAAUAAGAAAAGGUAAUUAUAUUGUUUAAUUGCGAUUUGGAGGUUAUCGUGUGCGAGCCGACCGUAAACCACCGCCAUCGAGCCCAUUCCAAACGGUCAACCCGCUGCUAGGGUUAACCUACCGUGGUCAGCCGCCAUCAGCCCACCCGAUACUCCGGCCAUCAUUACCGUCCGAUCUGCGAAACUGACAGCUAUAACAACGUCAGUUCCCCCCCCCCAGUCGCCUGGCCAUCAUCCUCCGGACAAUCCACCAAGCUAGCCAACGUCGUCAUCAAAAAAAAACCGCAAGUACACCAUUAUGUAGCAACCUCCCUAUGAACGAUCAUGCUCCUGCGUGAGCAAAUAAAUUUAGAAUGUAAGCUUUAAA